CCUACGGGUGGCAGCAGUAAGGAAUAUUGGUCAAUGGACGCAAGUCUGAACCAGCCAUGCCGCGUGGAGGAUGAAGGUCCUCUGGAUUGUAAACUUCUUUUAUCGGAGAAGAAACCCCGGAAAUCUUUCUGGGUUGACGGUACCCGAUGAAUAAGCACCGGCUAACUCCGUGCCAGCAGCCGCGGUAAUACGGAGGGUGCAAGCGUUAUCCGGAUUCACUGGGUUUAAAGGGUGCGUAGGUGGGUUGGUAAGUCAGUGGUGAAAUCUCCGGGCUUAACUCGGAAACUGCCGUUGAUACUAUCAAUCUUGAAUCUCGUGGAGGUAAGCGGAAUAUGUCAUGUAGCGGUGAAAUGCUUAGAUAUGACAUAGAACACCGAUAGCGAAGGCAGCUUGCUACACGAGUAUUGACACUGAGGCACGAAAGCGUGGGGAUCAAACAG
rnacentral:rRNA from 1 species